AAUGUUUUAUAUACUAAACUUGUUAUAUUCUGAACUCAAACGUACAGGUUUUAUGUGAAAUUGCUGUAACUUACAGAAAGUCAAUAGUUUGGAAGAUUUGGUCUGAUUCAAAGAACUCAUCUGAUCAAAUAUACCCUUAUCAGCCAAACAUAGUUGAUUGGCUUUCAACUCAUGUUUAAUUUCAUUGUUUUGGGAUAAAUUGAGAGGGAUAUCUGAGAUAAAAAAAAGGAAUCAAGUCUUUCCACUCUCCCCUACAUGUGUUUAUUUUAAUCAUAACAUUAUUGAAAAGUAUAUCUUUUCGAUACAAGUGCUGAAGUAUAACUAUUCUACCCUUGUAUCGACAAUUUUUACGCUAUGGAUUUGCUUGGGCUUCUGCUUAAAUGUUUAUGUGAGUCAAAAUUCAACUUAAAAACAUAUUUCAAAAAUUCAAUAUGUUAGAACUUUUCCAAUGGUUCGUUUCGCUCCAAAACGUAAAAAAAUGUGUUAAGAUGUUCAAAUAAACUUUACUAAAUAAUGGAACGUAGGAAACUAAUCUUUUCCAAUAUUUCAGUUAUUUUUAUUUAUUAAUAUCUGUGGCAUUUUCGGAUGAAUGGUGAAUGAUAGUGCAACACGAUGUUUGUUUUGUGCAAUUAAGGCAAUUUAUUUACUUCCGCUUGUGUCAAUCACGCAAAAUCCAGAUAACACAGAUCUGUGUAAAAAAAUUACACAGAUUGUUGUUCAGUUCUAGCUUUCAUAAUCUGAGUAAUUUUUCUACACAGAUCUGUGUAAAAAAAUACACAGAUUUUUGAAAAGCCGUUCUUUCAAAUCUGUGUAAAAAACAGUUGUCAUUUUUUAUCAGGCGCCAUUAAAGUUCUUCGUGAAGCUGGUAAGUUUUAUUUCUCUAAUUGAGUUAUUUCUUUAUUUAAAAUUAGUUUUCUAUUUCAGACUUUGGCCAUCUUCCAAACUUUAACCAGUACCUAAUGAAAUGAUUGUUUGUGGAACCUGUUUCCGGAAUAUUCCUGUUGGUAAAAGUAAAAGUGGCCACAGGUUCCGGAAGCCAGCUUGGGUGGCACUUUACGACGUCAUCCUCGCCGUCAUUGUUAUGUUGUUUUCGUCGCUAUCGGGAGAAGCCAACUCUAGCCCAAAAAUUACGGUAAUCGACAGUCACAAAA